AACCAGCUCUUCAAGUGGUCGGGAUGAUUAUUGGGCUUAAAGUGUCCGUAGCCGGUUUAGUAAGUUCCUGGUAAAAUCGAGUAGCUUAACUAUUUGUAUGCUAGGAAUACUGCUAUACUAGAGGACGGGAGAGGUCUGAGGUACUACAGGGGUAGGGGUGAAAUCUAUUGAUCCUUGUAGGACCACCAGUGGCGAAGGCGUCAGACUGGAACGUGCCUGACGGUGAGGGACGAAAGCCAGGGGAGCGAACCGGAUUAGAUACCCGGGUAGUCCUGGCCGUAAACGAUGCAUACUAGGUGAUGGCACGGCCAUGAGCCGUGUCAGUGCCGUAGGGAAACCGUUAAGUGUGCCGCCUGGGAAGUACGGUCGCAAGGCUAAAACUUAAGGAAUUGGCGGGGGAGCACCACAAGGGGUGAAGCCUGCGGUUU
rnacentral:rRNA from 1 species